GGGGUUGUGGCUUGGUGGUAGAGUGCUUGCCUUGCAUGCAUGAGGCACUGGGUUCAAUUUCCAGCACCACA
rnacentral:tRNA from 1 species